GAGACUCUGUGCGCGUGCAUAUCAAUAAGCGGAGGAAAAGAAACUAACAAGGAUUCCCCUAGUAACGGCGAGUGAAGCGGGAAGAGCUCAAAUUUGAAAUCUUCAAGGGUUUCCCUUGACGAAUUGUAGUUUAAAGAAGUGUUUUCUGUUAGAGAGGUGGUAAAAGUUCUUUGGAAUAGGACAUCAUAGAGGGUGAGAAUCCCGUAUUUGAUCACUUUCUACUAACGUUGUGAUACACUUUCAAAGAGUCGGAUUGUUUGGGAAUGCAGUCCAAAAUGGGUGGUAAAUUUCAUCUAAAGCUAAAUAUUGGCGAGAGACCGAUAGCGAACAAGUACCGUGAGGGAAAGAUGAAAAGAACUUUGAAAAGAGAGUUAAACAGUACGUGAAAUUGUCAAAAGGGAAGCGUUUGACACCAGUGUUGUUUUUCCGAAAAUCAAUUAAGAAUGGCCGGAUUUUAAGUUUCAUGACCUUAAAAGCUUGUUUCUUAUUCUUCUUGUCUUUCUUAAUGCACUUUUCGGUUAACAAGUCAACAUCAAUUUCUUUUGUUGUAAAAGGUUAAGAGGAAGGUGGCUUUACUUUCGGGUAAAGUGUUUAUAGCCUUUUAACUCUGCAAUCGGAGAGAUUGAGGUCUGCAGCGUAGAUCCUUCGGGGCUAGAUACGUUUGUGCUAAGUUAUAGCUUUUCAUAGACAACUUGUUGACUAUGUUUAGUCUUGUAGCUUACUCGCAUGCGCUAUUUUACCUACGCUUAGGAUGUUGAACUCUAUCACACACAG
rnacentral:rRNA from 1 species